rnacentral:rRNA from 1 species
CGGCGGACGGGUGAGUAACACGUGGGUAACCUACCUAUAAGACUGGGACAACUUCGGGAAACCGGAGCUAAUACCGGAUAAGAUAUCGAACCGCAUGGUUCGAUAGUGAAAGAUGGUUUUGCUAUCACUUAUAGAUGGACCCGCGCCGUAUUAGCUAGUUGGUGAGGUAACGGCUCACCAAGGCAACGAUACGUAGCCGACCUGAGAGGGUGAUCGGCCACACUGGAACUGAGACACGGUCCAGACUCCUAGGGAGGCAGCAGAC